rnacentral:lncRNA from 10 species
GCCAUUUUUAAAUUUAAGUUGAAGGCUAUAUGGGACCAUGUAAGAAGUGUCUACAAACUCUAUUCACCCAGUGAAGAGCCAGAACAGGCUCUGGGCUUGCAAAAAAAAGGGCCUGUGCUGUUGAGAUAAAUUGCAUUACCUAACACUGUGUGUACUGUAAAUGUGGGCAGAUAAUGUGGGCUAGAAACAUUAUUUCAUCCAUGGAGCAUAUGGUAAUUAUAUCCACAUUAAAGCACUUUUGCUCAUCAGACACAUGCACACAUAUUUGCUGCUGAUGGGGUCCAUCUGACACCAAGAGAUCCCUCACAGAUCUGGGCUCAUCAGUACAUUUCUCUCUAUGUGCAUCUCCUACCUACGGGGCUGCUAUGGCUCUUCUUAAAUGACUUCUCCUCCCCGCAACUCCGUGCACAGAAGAUUACAACAUAAACACGGCACCAGAACAGAAGUUUACAGUUUCAGGAGAGGAAGUGAGUCUGGUGGUUUUUAUCAACUAUUGUUUCCUCUGAGCGUAGUCUGAAGUGGCCACUUUUGAGUAUUUAUCUGGCACGGCCCAUGACAUAAAAUCCUAGAGUGCCACAGAAUUAGUGGCCCAAAUUCAAACAAAAGACAGACUUCGGGUGUUGAGCCACCCCACAAGGCUAUAGUAAAUGUUUUCUAUGUGCUGUACUCUACACUGAGUAUAUAAAUGUGUUUUCUCUUUAAAUCCUUACAACAGUCCUGCAUGAUAUAAAUAAUUAUCUGUACCAACAGAUGGGAAGACUGAGGUUCAGAAAGGAUAGGUAACUGGCCUACAAUCAGUAUUCAAACCCUGGACAGUCAGAAUUUAUGCUCUUUCCACUGGACUCCACAGAGGCCAUAAGAAUUGAAAAAAUAAUUAUGCCUCCACCCAAAUAUGUAAUUCAAAAUAAAAUAGUGCUUUUUAAAACAUCACAAAAUUACCAUGUAAGCUGAAAUUAAAAAUACCUCUAUUGUAGAUCUCUGUUUAUAAAGUCCUGGAUAAAUUCAUUGAAGGUGGGCUUUUAACACUCUAUUUCCAUUUAGUUCUCCUGUUUGCUGGUGCCCUGAGUUGAAUACAUGGCAGCCUGAUGGGAAGUCUGGCAUUGAAUUCUUCCAUAUUGCUGCCUUAGAGGAAGAUAUCUUAAUACGCUGCUUAUAAGACAAAUAGUCCUGAUCCUCAUGUGCUCUCACUGGGGUUUUA